UACUCCUACGGGAGGCAGCAGUGGGGAAUUUUGGACAAUGGGGGCAACCCUGAUCCAGCCAUGCCGCGUGAGUGAAGAAGGCCUUCGGGUUGUAAAGCUCUUUCGGCGGGGAAGAGAUGGCAACGGCUAAUAUCCGUUGUUGAUGACGGUACCCGCAUAAGAAGCACCGGCCAACUACGUGCCAGCAGCCGCGGUAAUACGUAGGGUGCGAGCGUUAAUCGGAAUUACUGGGCGUAAAGCGUGCGCAGGCGGUUUCGUAAGACAGACGUGAAAUCCCCGGGCUCAACCUGGGAACUGCGUUUGUGACUGCGAGGCUAGAGUACGGCAGAGGGGGGUAGAAUUCCACGUGUAGCAGUGAAAUGCGUAGAGAUGUGGAGGAAUACCGAUGGCGAAGGCAGCCCCCUGGGUUAGUACUGACGCUCAUGCACGAAAGCGUGGGGAGCAAACAGGAUUAGAUACCCUGGUAGUCUACGCCCUAAACGAUGUCAACUAGGUGUUGGAAGGGUUAAACCUUUUAGUACCGCAGCUAACGCGUGAAGUUGACCGCCUGGGGAGUACGGCCGCAAGGUUAAAACUCAAAGGAAUUGACGGAAG
rnacentral:rRNA from 1 species